GACGAACGCUGGCGGCGUGCUUAACACAUGCAAGUCGAACGAAGAGCGAUGGAAGCUUGCUUCUAUCAAUCUUAGUGGCGAACGGGUGAGUAACGCGUAAUCAACCUGCCCUUCAGAGGGGGACAACAGUUGGAAACGACUGCUAAUACCGCAUACGAUCUAAUCUCGGCAUCGAGGAUAGAUGAAAGGUGGCCUCUACAUGUAAGCUAUCACUGAAGGAGGGGAGUGCGUCUGAUUAGCUAGUUGGAGGGGUAACGGCCCACCAAGGCGAUGAUCAGUAGCCGGUCUGAGAGGAUGAGCGGCCACAUUGGGACUGAGACACGGCCCAGACUCCUACGGGAGGCAGCAGUGGGGAAUCUUCCGCAAUGGACGAAAGUCUGACGGAGCAACGCCGCGUGAGCGAUGACGGCCUUCGGGUUGUAAAGCUCUGUUAAUCGGGACGAAAGGCCUUCUUGCGAAUAGUGAGAAGGAUUGACGGUACCGGAAUAGAAAGCCACGGCUAACUACGUG
rnacentral:rRNA from 1 species